GUUUCCGUAGGUGAACCUGCGGAAGGAUCAUUACCGAGUGUAGGGUUCCUAGCGAGCCCAACCUCCCACCCGUGUUUACUGUACCUUAGUUGCUUCGGCGGGCCCGCCAUUCAUGGCCGCCGGGGGCUCUCAGCCCCGGGCCCGCGCCCGCCGGAGACACCACGAACUCUGUCUGAUCUAGUGAAGUCUGAGUUGAUUGUAUCGCAAUCAGUUAAAACUUUCAACAAUGGAUCUCUUGGUUCCGGCAUCGAUGAAGAACGCAGCGAAAUGCGAUAACUAGUGUGAAUUGCAGAAUUCCGUGAAUCAUCGAGUCUUUGAACGCACAUUGCGCCCCCUGGUAUUCCGGGGGGCAUGCCUGUCCGAGCGUCAUUGCUGCCCAUCAAGCACGGCUUGUGUGUUGGGUCGUCGUCCCCUCUCCGGGGGGGACGGGCCCCAAAGGCAGCGGCGGCACCGCGUCCGAUCCUCGAGCGUAUGGGGCUUUGUCACCCGCUCUGUAGGCCCGGCCGGCGCUUGCCGAACGCAAAUCAAUCUUUUUCCAGGUUGACCUCGGAUCAGGUAGGGAUACCCGCUGAACUUAAG
rnacentral:rRNA from 1 species